ensembl:lncRNA
AUGCACUGAAUUUGAAUAGAGCAUUAUACUCAGUUAAUCAUGUAUCACAUCAUUUUAUCACCAAAGUACACCUAUGAAGUUGCUGCCAGUGACUCCACGGAGAUUAAAGAGUGUCAAGUCAUUGCCCCAGACCACACAGGUAGAAGUUGUAGAGCAAGGAUUUAAGGCCAAAUAGUUCUAAUUUUUCUGCUGGUGGUUGUCCUACUCCUUUACAACAUCCAUCAUUUCAGGGGCUUAUUCUUACCAAAUAAGAGUCAAUGUGAGUAGGGGGGAACAUACACAUUUUGUUUCAAUGUGACACUGUAGAUUGCUCCUAAAAUGUCACAGGCUGGGAACCACUAACCUAAGAUCUCCUUUUGAUUUUUAAUUGAGUCGCUCCUGAAAUGUCUUCAGUAUCUUUAACUCCAUGUUCUUUCUCUUCUUUGCUUCAGUAACUCCCAUGCAUUCUUCAAGCCUUAGAAUAACUGGAACCUCUUCUGAGAAGCUUUUCUUUCUACUUUCCAGUCUCAAUGGGUGCUGAAUUUCAGUUCAUCACAGGUUUUGACAACAGGAGUGUGAGCAAUGACAAAAAGGCCCGGAGAUUAAAAAGAUGCCUCUGCUGCUCCACAACAUGUCUCAGAAUCUCCUUUCUUGAAAUCACAGAGCUUGUAGUCUGGUCUAGUCUAAGACAAGAAAAUAAUCAACUAUAA